rnacentral:rRNA from 1 species
CAAAAACAUAGCUAGAUGUUAUUAUAUUUAGUGCUUCCUGCUCAAUGAUAUAUUUAAUAGCCGCAGUACCUUGACUGUGCAAAGGUAGCAUAAUCAAUUGGCUUAUAAUUGAAGUCUAGAAUGAAAGGAUAUACGGGUAAUUACUGUAUCUGAUAUUUACCACAAAAUUAGUUUUCAAGUGCAAAUACUUGUAAAUAACUGUUAGACGAGAAGACCCUAGAAAUUUGUACCGAUGUUUCGUUGGGGCAACGUAGUAGGAAUAACCUGCAGUAAAAGACGCGAAAUUUUUUCGAAAGAAAAAAUUACUCUAGGGAUAACAGCAUAAUUUAUAAAAGUUUGUGACCUCGAUGUUGGAUUUGGGAGCUAUAGUUCAAAAGACCUUUAGCAUUGCUCUGUUCGAGCAUAACACCUAACAUGAUCUGA